ACGGGUGAGUAACACGUAGGUGACCUACCUCGAAGUGUGGGAUAACAGUCCGAAAGGAUUGCUAAUACCGCAUGUGGUCUGUGAUCUUAGAAAUUGCAGACUAAAGCAGCAAUGUGCUUCGAGAGGGGCCUGCGCCCCAUCAGCUAGUUGGUAGGGUAAUGGCCUACCAAGGCUACAACGGGUAGGGGGCCUGAGAGGGUGACCCCCACAUUGGCACUGACACACGGGCCAAACUCCUACGGGAGGCAGCAGUGAGGAAUAUUGCUCAAUGGGCGAAAGCCUGAAGCAGCAACGCCGCGUGCGCGAUGAAGGUCUUCGGAUCGUAAAGCGCUUUUGGGAGGGACGAGAUAGGACGGUACCUCUUGAAUAAGUCACGGCUAACUACGUGCCAGCAGCCGCGGUAAAACGUAGGUGGCAAGCGUUAUCCGGAUUCACUGGGCGUAAAGCGCGUGCAGGUGGCUUCGUAAGUUGGACGUUAAAUCUCUCGGCUUAACCGGGAGGUGUCGUUCAAUACUGCGGGGCCUGAGGGCAGAAGAGGGGGGUGGAAUUGCUGGUGUAGUGGUGAAAUGCGUAGA
rnacentral:rRNA from 1 species